UCGGGAAUCUUGUACAAUGGGCGAAAGCCUGAUACAGCAACGCCGUGUGAGGGAUGAAGGCCUUCGGGUCGUAAACCUCUGUCAGGGGGGAAGAAGAACGCGAAGCUAAUACCUUCGCGGAUUGACGGUACCCCCAAAGGAAGCGCCGGCUAACUCCGUGCCAGCAGCCGCGGUAAUACGGAGGGCGCAAGCGUUGUUCGGAAUCAUUGGGCGUAAAGCGGGUGCAGGCGGUCAGGUAAGUCGGUUGUGAAAGCCCGGGGCCCAACCCCGGAACUGCAGCCGAAACUGCUCGACUAGAGUCCCGGAGAGGGUGGCGGAAUUCCCGGUGUAGAGGUGAAAUUCGUAGAUAUCGGGAGGAACACCAGUGGCGAAGGCGGCCACCUGGACGGUGACUGACGCUCAGACCCGAAAGCGUGGGGAGCAAACAGGAUUAGAUACCCCCGUAGUCC
rnacentral:rRNA from 1 species